rnacentral:lncRNA from 1 species
CGCAUCCUUCUCAAACGUGUUUUUUAUCCAGUGUUGAUUUACAUACACAAUGUUCCUACCAACAACUACUACCUGAGGCAAUUGCUGUGGUUUGUUCGCCAAAAUAUAACAAUUUCGGAGUUUAUCGCUUAACCAUGCACGGAUUAAAACUCAUAACAAAUUGUACUCAAAACGGAUUCCAUCCACACAAUAAAGAUCCUCCGCUUUUUGAGGAGUCUUCUGGAAUAAACAUUCAGGAUUUAUACGGAAUUACCAUUGUUGAUUUACGUUAAAUCAAGAUUGAUUAUGGUAAAUCAAAUCUUCAAAAUCGAAAUAAAUUGUACAUAGUAAA